AUCAGCAAACCCCUUUCAUAUGAGAAGCUCAAAAUCCCUACUCCAAAUCACAAACAACAAAUCGCUAAAUCCCUUUGGUGCAAAAUUAUCAACUCCAAGAACCCUAAACUCACUAAUGAUCCCUUCUCGAUUGGUUUCAUUCCAACGCACCCGAAACUCUCACUGAAUCUCCCUCUCGAAGUUUCAAUCUCCCUCUCAGGAAGCAAAACGAAAAAAAGUAUCAAUCCCUAAUUCCUCUCUCAGUCACGAUACUUCAAUCCCUAAUUCCUCUUAUGAAGCUUCAAUGACUCGGUCACUGAUUCUAUUUAUUGAAUCGCGGUUUAGUUCGAAGCCCAAUCGCAGUUUCAACAACGCCUCAGUUCGAAGUUCAAUCGCAAUUUCGACAGGCAGCAAAUAUGCCAGCUUCGAUGCUCCUGUUUUUUCGCCAUCAUCCUUGAAUAUCUCGCCACUGAGAAUGUAAUCCACCAUUCUUCGAGUUGUUGCUUGGAUUCUCUAUGAAAUUGCUUCUUCUCUCAAUCUAAUGGAAUUUGUUGCGGGUGAUAUAAAUGAUCAUGAAUCUAUUGGUAAGGCAAUUAAGUAAGUUGAUAUCGUGAUCAUAUGUGUUGCUGGUAAGCUACUAAUUGAGGUUGUUAGACUCUUGGUAGUAGAAAUGCAGAAUUUGCAAUUUACAGGAUGGAAGAAUUGACUUUUAUUGAGCAUGUUUCUCUCAAUAACAACUUAGAAGACACAUCACCAAGAAGCUAUCCAGCAAGUUUUGCACCUGUAGAUUAGUAUGGAACUUAUUCAAUGAGAAUAAGGUUUUGAGGCUUCUUGAUUUUCUAGUCAGCCUAUUGGAGCUUCCACUUGGCGAGGUCAUUGAAUUUGUAAUUUUUGGUUGGUUCUCCUGGUAUUCAAGUUUAUCGUGCUCCUUUUUUAUUCAGAAACUUGUCGAAAUUACUCCUGGAAGACAUUGUGAGUUGCCUAUUUUCUUGUUAAUUAUUUGUAUUAUUAGAGGUAUUGUACUUAAUAUUUUAAUAUUUCCCAAAUAGUAGUGAUAAUAGUGUGUCCUGCUAUAGUAUGACUAUAUUUCUUUGUGUAUUAUGCUUGUCUUUUUCAUCUCUUUCAUGUUAGUUUAUGCUGUUGUUUCUUUACUACACUAUUGUGAUCUAUUUUCUGCUAUUGUAUGUCCUUGUUGCUGCAUAAUAUUCUGGUUUGUGUGCUUCUGCAUAUUUUGCCACUGCGUUUCUGGUUGUUUCUGCAUUCUCACUCUGGUUCAUGCACAUUACACAUAUGGGUGUCACCGUGUGUCUGUAUUUCCCACACAUGUCGAACACUCAGUCGUGACUUCAACCUGAAGUGUUGGUGCUGGCUUAUUUUUUCAGAUUUUGAUGAUAU